AUUGAACGCUGGCGGCAUGCCUUACACAUGCAAGUCGAACGGUAGAGGGGCAACCCUCGAGAGUGGCGAACGGGUGAGUAAUGCAUCGGAACGUACCCAGUUGUGGGGGAUAGCUCGGCGAAAGCCGGAUUAAUACCGCAUACGCACUGAGGUGGAAAGCGGGGGACUCGCAAGGGCCUCGCGCAGUUGGAGCGGCCGAUGUCAGAUUAGCUAGUUGGUGGGGUAAAGGCCUACCAAGGCGACGAUCUGUAGCUGGUCUGAGAGGAUGACCAGCCACACUGGGACUGAGACACGGCCCAGACUCCUACGGGAGGCAGCAGUGGGGAAUUUUGGACAAUGGGCGCAAGCCUGAUCCAGCCAUGCCGCGUGCAGGAAGAAGG
rnacentral:rRNA from 1 species